AGUGAACGCUGGCGGUAGGCCUAACACAUGCAAGUCGAACGGCAGCACAGUAAGAGCUUGCUCUUACGGGUGGCGAGUGGCGGACGGGUGAGGAAUACAUCGAAAUCUACUUUUUCGUGGGGGAUAACGUAGGGAAACUUACGCUAAUACCGCAUACGACCUACGGGUGAAAGCAGGGGAUCUUCGGACCUUGCGCGAUUGAAUGAGCCGAUGUCGGAUUAGCUAGUUGGCGGGGUAAAGGCCCACCAAGGCGACGAUCCGUAGCUGGUCUGAGAGGAUGAUCAGCCACACUGGAACUGAGACACGGUCCAGACUCCUACGGGAGGCAGCAGUGGGGAAUAUUGGACAAAGGGCGCAAGCCUGAUCCAGCCAUACCGCGUGGGUGAAGAAGGCCUUCGGGUUGUAAAGCCCUUUUGUUGGGAAAGAAAAGCAGCAGGUUAAUACCCCGCUGUUCUGACGGUACCCAAAGAAUAAGCACCGGCUAACUUCGUG
rnacentral:rRNA from 1 species